CAACUUUCAACAACGGAUCUCUUGGCUCUCGCAUCGAUGAAGAACGCAGCGAAAUGCGAUAAGUAAUGUGAAUUGCAGAAUUCAGUGAAUCAUCGAAUCUUUGAACGCACCUUGCGCCCGUCGGUAUUCCGACGGGCAUGCCUGUUUGAGUGUCUUGA
rnacentral:rRNA from 1 species